UGAGGAAUAUUGGUCAAUGGACGCAAGUCUGAACCAGCCAUGCCGCGUGCAGGAUGACGGCCCUACGGGUUGUAAACUGCUUUUGUAUAGGAAUAAACCCCUUUACGUGUAGAGGGCUGAAUGUACUAUACGAAUAAGCACCGGCUAACUCCGUGCCAGCAGCCGCGGUAAUACGGAGGGUGCAAGCGUUAUCCGGAUUUAUUGGGUUUAAAGGGUGCGUAGGCGGGUUGCUAAGUCAGUGGUGAAAGCCUAUAGCUCAACUAUAGAACUGCCAUUGAUACUGGCGACCUUGAGUAUGUUCGAAGUAAGCGGAAUAAGACAUGUAGCGGUGAAAUGCUUAGAUAUGUCUUAGAACACCGAUAGCGAAGGCAGCUUACUAGGUCAUAACUGACGCUGAUGCACGAAAGCGUGGGGAGCGAACAGG
rnacentral:rRNA from 1 species